rnacentral:misc_RNA from 1 species
GGUCAGGGCGGGAGUCGGAGAGCGCGCCCGGCGCAGCAGCGAGACGUGUGUCUGUGGAUUUCGGGCUGCGAUGGCGAGUAGGGAGCUAUGUCUCCUACUUGUGCUGGAAGCCGUUUCUCGCGCUCAUUCUCUGUAACUGGAGGAGGAGGGGUGGCCUUUAGGGUUCGCCUUGAUCGGAGGGGUCCGGUUCCCGCGCUCCCGCCCGGGCCGCAUAAUCUCGCCCAGCACCUUUUCUUCCUUCUUGGUUAUGGCUUGACGAACCCUUAAGGACUCGUCGGCCAACGUUGUGGCACAUUCCUGAAAAGGACGAGGACCCUUUACCCGAGGGGAGUAAAGACAGUACUUGGAAGAUGACGGGUCUAGUCAUCCUUGCACAAGGAAAGCCUUCUGCGCGCUUUGGCGUCUGUACAUGUUGGGACUCCUCAGGCACUGAAAUACUGAAGUCCAGCUCAUUCUCAGUCUCUUGAAAACUGUGUUCACUGUUGGACAGUACUGGCACAGAGUGAAGCCAGACUUCCCGUCCUGCCAGCCUCACCCCUUCAGCAGCCGGUACGAGCAACAGCAGGGCGGUUACCCUCCUGGCUACAGCUCUGGCCGAGGGGCGGGUGGAAAUGGACCCAACCUUUAUUCUGCAUGUGAGACCUCUGGACACCCCUCUGAGACUUCGCUUCCACCCAAGGAAACCACGUCUCUAGCUGAAAACCAAGUUGAAGAUUCACUAGAAGAUCCAAAUCUCCACUUGAAUAUUGAGGAACUCAACAAAGAAUUUAUGGUGAAAAGUGAAGAGCUCUACCAAUCUCUCAUGAAUAGCCACUGGCAGCCUCUCGAUACGGUAUACUCAGAAAUCCCAGACAAGACCCCCCAAGAGCAAGAUGCUGAUUAAGCUACCAAUUAUCAUAUUCAUUGUGUCUUAUUUUGUUUUUGUUUAAAAAGUUCUCGCAGAAAGGCACUGGAUUGUGUGUAUAAAUACAGAUUCUUGAGGGAGUGUCAUGUAAAUAAACGUUGCCAGCACGUUCA